AUAUAUAUUAGUACAUAUUAUAUACAUGUUACAGCUAUAGUAUUAUAGAUCAUAUUAUAUAUAUAUAUAUAAUAGGCAGCUGUAUCUGAUACAGAAUAUCAUAAGGGUGAUAAGACUGAAGCAUUUAGAGUCAGGGUGACCACAGCUGCCUUGAGUUUCAGUGGUGACUUGUAAGGGUCCUUGUCAUGUUCAGUAACAUUUACAUCCCAUCCCUUGUUACCCCUCAGCCCCAAUUACAAUCAAAUUUCAUAAAAGCCACAGUAAAACCCAGGGCUUUCCACCUGUGACUGCCAAGAGGCUGCAGAGCAAUCACCAAGAAUUACACGUGGCUGUAUCUCAGCAGGGCUCUGGUGCUGCUCUGACCCUGAAACUUCUGCUCAGAUCUCUCCAGCCUGGAGGUUUCUUCCCUGCUCAGCCUUUCUGGAGCCCUGGCAGAGGCUUCACAGCCCUGUCCCGCUGCCACAUCGGGUGACAAUGACACAGCAGUGGCUGGGGCCACCUCCCUGCUCAGUUUCGUUUCUCUCAGAGCUCUUUUCUCUCAAGGAAAUGCUUUCUGCAGGAGCUCAAGGGCUAUUUAUGGACAGUGAUAAAGUUAUAUUUGCUGGGAGACUGACGUCACCCAACCACUCACACCAUCACAUUUCAUCACGGAAAUACUGAUUAAUCAAGAAUGCAAACUUCUAAACUCUCACUACCCUAAGUCUAGCCACAGUCCUACUUAAAGGAUUGGUUAUAUUUAAAAGAAUUAAAAAAUAAAAUGUGGCUUUGAGAUUGA